rnacentral:rRNA from 1 species
UACGGAGGGGGCUAGCGUUGUUCGGAAUUACUGGGCGUAAAGCGCGCGUAGGCGGACCUGCAAGUCGGGGGUGAAAGCCCGAGGCUCAACCUCGGAACUGCCUUCGAUACUGCGGGUCUCGAGUCCGGGAGAGGUGAGUGGAAUUCCUAGUGUAGCGGUGAAAUGCGUAGAUAUCGGUAGGAACACCAGUGGCGAAGGCGGUCUCCUGGGGCAUUCUUGACGCUGAGGCGCGAAAGCUGGGGGAGCGAACGGG